AAUAUUCAUUGUGAAUUUUGGAGGAUUGUAAUUUGUGACAUUACCUGUUUAAAGAUGCUGUCAUGUCUUACCUUGACAGAUAGGAAGAGCACAC